CCUACGGGCGGCAGCAGUGGGGAAUAUUGGGCAAUGGGCGCAAGUCUGACCCAGCAACGCCGCGUGAAGGAUGAAGGCUUUCUGGUUGUAAACCUCUUUUUUUAGGGACGUAGCACGCGAUGGUACUUUAGGAAUAAGCGACGGCUACCUACGUGCCAGCAGCCGCGGUAAUACGUAGGCGGCAAGCGUUAUGCGGAUUGACUGGGUGUAAAGGGCGUGUAGGCGGGAAAGCAAGUCAGAUGUGAAAACCAGGGGCUCAACCUGUGACCUGCAUUUGAGACUGUUUUUCUUGAGUACAGGUGAGGCAGACGGAAUUCAUGGUGUAGCGGUGAAAUGCGUAGAGAUUAGAAAGAACACCGAUGGCGAAGGCAGUCUGCUAAACAGCAACUGACGCUGAGGCGCGAAAGCGUGGGGAGCAAACAGGAUUAGAUACCCGGGUAGUC
rnacentral:rRNA from 1 species